UACGUAGGGAGCAAGCGUUGUCCGGAAUCAUUGGGCGUAAAGCGCGCGUAGGUGGCUUCGUAAGUCCGUUGUGAAAGUCAAAGGCUCAACCUUUGAAAGCCGAUGGAUACUGCGGAGCUAGAGUACGGAAGAGGCGAGUGGAAUUCCUGGUGUAGCGGUGGAAUGCGCAGAUAUCAGGAAGAACACCAACGGCGAAGGCAGCUCGCUGGGACGGUACUGACGCUGAGACGCGAAACGUGGGGGAGCGAACAGG
rnacentral:rRNA from 1 species